GGGGGGUGUCUGCGCGGGGGUCUGGAUGUGUCCAGCAGCGGCACGGCAGCCUGAUGCCUCCUCUCGUCUGGGACGCGGGUUCCUUGGCAGCUCUUCUGGGAUGCGGGGCCCUUGGGUAGUCCACCGAAGGGGGACAUCUCGAAGAGAAGCAGCGAGACCUGGGGAUCCGGUUGUUCGUUUUGGUCGUCGCCUGUGAGGCCAGCAUCCGAGCGUAAGAGGAAUCUAGGCGCUGUCUCGAGAAGAGAUGGCACCAAGGACAGCAAAUGCUGACAAAGAGAAGAGACGGACAAGCAUUUUCUUGUGAUUAAUACCGAAGGGACGGGAUGAGACAAGGAAGCCAAAAUGCAGUGGACCCUCGAUAUCACCAGGAACUGCUACAGGAGGCGGCGUUCUGGCACGGGUAACUAAGGGCGAUGGAUUUUACUCUGCCUCCAUCAACAGGCGCUGGCUGGCAAAGUCGUCGUGUCCCAGCGGAGACUCUUAGGCAGGACGGGAGGAGUUCGGAUCCGCAGCCUGCCAGAAGAGCGUCGCCUGGGAGGGGUCGCUAGCCUUGAGCUACAGGCACUGGUGUUCGGAACCUCAGGCAACAACUAUAUGCUGCCGCGAAAAGCUACCGGUUACCACUGCCGUCAGACGGGAUUUUUGCUGUCGCAAGUUACGGUUCCUUUUAGGAGCCAGCUACAAAAGUGCCGAAGCCCAGUCGGGCAGUCGAAGGAGCCUCGUCGCAGCUGGGAGCUCUGCGGAGAUGUGCGGCCGGCUGUGGAGGAUGAGCUCUGACUUGCGGCGUGGACACGGCUAAGUCCUGGGCUGCAUCGUACGCGAGUGGGGCUGGGAGGUGCGAGGCGUUCGUCCCCUAGCCGUGGUCACUGGCGCCGCUGGCUGUGGCCGUUUGCCCACGGAGCUGAGAGGACCAAACAUACUAAUUGCCUGACCCAGAGAUGAAUUAGUGCUUGCAGGCUUUCAGGUAGGUUCAGUGCAAGUGCAGCUUAGUGCAGUCCCGUGGAGUGACGCUUGCACAUGCUCACAUUUGAAUGGUGGCUAAAACCAAGCCUCUAAACAGCAACUGUAAUGCAAUUCUGGUGCUUGUCUUCCUGUUCUGCUGUACUUCUAAAGGAAGGGAAAACUUCCUAAGCUGCGGGCAAAACUCCUUGGCUUCUCUUGACUGUUUCCAUGCUCUGGAAACAGCUUUGGGUGCUUUGGUGCUUGUUGCUUAAAGCUGAGGGUUUGGAAUUUUUCACUUAAGGUUUAUUGUUUAGCUUGCUGCUGAGGGUCUCUCACCCAGGAGUUACGGGUUAUUCCUUUCUUUUGUGGGGCUCACUCUUUAUCAGUCAGGGUUUACAGUUUGCUCAUGUAGCAAUCGGGGCGCAGAAUUUAAAAUCCAACCCCAUCCCUUGUCCCGAUCCAAUAUCGGGGGGGUUUCGUUACGAUCCCAAGGACGAGAUUAAGACGCUAAAACCGGUCAAAUAUCGUACAACCGUUUAACAUUAUUUUCCACAAAGUGGGGAGAAAAGGUGGGGAAAGGCGAAGGAGAGGCGAAGGGAAGAGGGGGACGAGGGUAAGGGGAAAAGAUAGAGAAAGCUGGAAAAGGAGAGAAAGAGCUGGCUACCACCAGUCCGAGUCCAGUGAUGUUCUGCUGACUCCGUUCGAAUUACAGCUCAGGCUGGGUGCCUCCAAAGAGGGACCCCGAACAAAGAAAUCCCUGGGCAAUGAUACUUUCCAAUCUAAGCUCUCCACCCUUCACACAGUAGUUUGGACCAAUAGUAAUAUUUAGGUCUGGGGUCUCCUGCUCCCUAUUGGGUCCCUCGAUAGGUUGUUUACUGUUGCGGUUUCUGCUGGUGGAUAUGUCUUCAUUCUUCGGGUCCUGCCCUUGUCUCUCAAGGCCCUGACAAAUCAGUACUGCCCCAGCAGUGAUAGUAGGUGUUAUUUCCCAAGGUCCAGACAAAGGGAAUAUGAUCUGGACCCCGAGAUAGUCCAGACCCCCCCUAAUCAGCACUGUUUCAGCAGCGAGAGGAGCCCCAUCAUCCAACUAUGAUGGCAGUUCUUUGACCAUUUGCUUGUCCAGCCACUCAGACCAUAGAGGCCUCGUUUGUGUGCAAGUAUACUGUGGGAGAAAGUGUCAAAAGCCUUCUGAAAGUUGAGGUAACUGACAUUCACUGCUCUCUGUUCGUCCAUAAAUAGAGUUCUUUUAACAUAGAAAGCCAUCACGUUGGUGAGGCAUGAUUUCCUCUCAGGAAAUCUGUGCUGACUCUUCCCAGGCACCUCAUUCUCCUUCCUUUACCUGGAAAUGUGAUCAGAGGGGGCUCGCUGCAUGACGCUCUCCUCAUCAAAGUGAGUCUGAACGGCCUGUAGUUGCCCAGGUUGUGCUUGUGGCCUUUGUGGAAGAGGGAUGUAACAUUUGCCCUUCUCCAGUCAUUGGGUCCUCCCUGAGUCUCCACACCUUUCCAAGAUGACAGAGAGUGGCCUUGCGAGAUAGAGGCCAGCUCUCUCAGCAUCCUCAGCUGCAGCCCAUCCAAUCCUGUACACGUACCAAUAAUUCCUGCCUCAGUCCUCAGGCCCUGCUGGUUGUUUUUCUCCUCAGGACUCCUGACUCUAGGCACAAUGGCCUGGGAGACCUUGCUGGUGGGGGCUGAAGCCAAGGGAUUGAGUUCCCCAGACCCAUCUACCUCUGCUGUUACCAGAUUGCCUGCCCCAGUCAGGAAUGGGACCACGUUAUCCUUGUUCAGGCUUUCACUGUUACUGAAGCAAUAGCAGAUCAUCUUUUUGCCCUUGACAUUGCUUGUAGCCUCAGUCCUAAAGGCGCUUUGGUUUUCCUAACAGCUUCCCUAGUUCCCUGGACAGCAUUUCUCACUUCCUGCUUUGCAGCCUCUCCCUGCUUUCUGUUCCCCAUGCCUGUGCUGCCUUUUUGUCCUGUUGUUCAGUUGUGAGUUCCCUGUUCAGCCACUCUGUCUCCUGAGAUCUCUGCUUGCUCUCCUGGACAUCAGUAUGGGCCAUUCUUGAGCUUAGAGGAUGCUGUCCUUAAAGACCUGCCACCUUUCUUGAGUUCUUCUGUCCUUCAGACUUACCUACCACAGGAUCCCUCUAAGAGUAGGUCCAAGUCUGCUCCUCUGACAUCCAGAGUGUGGGCUCUGCUACUCUUCCUCCUCAUAUCACUCAGGAUCUGGAACUCCACUGUUUCAUGGCCACUGCAGGCAAGGCUGACACAUCUACCUGGCUGCCCUCCUGGGCAACAUCCUCAUCAUCACAGCCGUAGCCUGCGACCACCGCCUCCACACCCCCAUGUACUUCUUCCUCCUCAACCUCUCCCUCCUUGACCUUGGCACCAUCUCCACCACUGUCCCCAAAUCCAUGGCCAAUUCUCUGUGGGACACCAGGGCCAUUUCCUACUCAGGAUGUGCUGCCCAACUCUUUUUUUUUUGCCUUUUUUGUUUUGGCUGAGUAUUGUCUUCUCACAGUCAUGGCCUAUGAUCACUAUGUUGCCAUAUGCAAACCCCUGCACUAUGGGACCAUCAUGGGCAGCAGAGUGUGUGUCAAAAUGGCAGCAGCUGCCUGGGCCAGUGGGUUUCUCAGUGCGGUGCUGCACACUGGGACCACAUUUGGAGUAACAUUCUGCCAAGGCAGCUCGCUGGGCCAGUUCUUCUGUGAAGUUCCCCGGAUCCUCAAGCUCUCCUGCUCAGACUCCUACCUCAGGGAACUUGGGGUGCUUGUGAUUACUGUUUGUUUAGGCUUUGGGUGUUUCAUCUUCAUUGUGGUGUCCUAUGUGCAGAUCUUCACUGCUGUGCUGAGGAUCCCCUCUGAGCAGGGCCAGCACAAAGCCCUCUCCAUGUGCCUCCCUCACCUGGCCGUGGUCUCCCUGUUUGUCAGCACUAUCAUAUUUGCCUACCUGAAGCCCCCCUCCCUCUCUUCCCCGUCUCUGGAUCUGGUGGUGGCUGUUUUGUACUCGGUGGUGCCUCCAGCAGUGAACCCCCUCAUCUACAGCAUGAGGAACAGGGAGCUCAGGGAUGCCCUGAAGAAACUGAUUCUCCUGGUUUUCGUGCAGCAGCAAUGAGCUGCCCAUCCCUCUUCACAGGUGGUUUCUAAGUACCUCAGACAAGUCUUGUGCUUUGGGCAUUCUUGCUGUGAUCAUCAUGUUUGUGCAGUAGUGUUGGAAUUCAUCCCACUUCCUUACAGCCAUGAACCCAGUCUGCCUGACCCAGAGGUCUUCUGUAAAUGUGUCUCUCAUUGUGUCAGAGCUGUCCUCUCUGUAAUAAAUGGGAUUUCCCCAGUGCAGUGCUUGAAGAUUGGGCUCUCCUUCAAAAGCUGGAGCCAAGGAUGUGCUCAAGGACUUUCCCCCUGAAAGGGCCUGGUGCUUUUCCGGGGCUCUCCCUGGGCUCAAGGCAAUGAGCUUAGAGGUGAUGUGUUAGGGAGUGAGGGCUGGAUUCAGCUCUCGCUUGUGGGUGCCCAGUGCUCCUGGAGAUCGUGAAUGGUCAAGUGGUGUUUCCCAUAUGACAUGGCUGGACACCCGUGCUUGUCCUUCUCGAAGGGAGUAUGGAUCCAUCAGGAGAGCACAGGGCAUCCCCAAGGGCACCACGUGCUUAGUGGUGGGCAGUGAAUGGAGCUUCACAAAAUCCAGUGGAGUCAUCCAGAGGGAAAGGGCUAAAGCAGUGAAUGUCCUGGCUAGUGAGAGCUCUGCAAUCCCACUAGAGGCAGCUGGGACCCAGGAGGCCCAGGGAAGGGAUCCUGCAGAGUGGUCCAUGUCACCUUCAAUGAGAAGCCAUGGGCUGGAUCUGGCGACACGCCUGAACACAGCCUGAGCCAUUUGAAAUGCCCUGUGAUUGCUCAGAGCAUCAUCCAUGGCCACAGGGCAACAGAUGUCUCGGUAGGGGAUCACCAGGUGCAAUGAUGCCCAUCCAGCUGGGUCUGCAUCCAACACGCAAAACUACGACCAGUGAGGAGUCACCCUGUGGCCCCAGGGCACCACAGCCCACUUGCUCUGCUGAGCAGCACUGCCAGCUCGGAGCCCCAUGAGGAGCACAGGGUUGGAUCCAGGAAUGGCUGGGCAGGCAGCACCCAUGCACUUCCCUGGGGAAAGACUCUCCCGGGAGCAGGGACAUCCCUGGAGAAGAGCAAAGGAGCAAUUGUGUGCCCCCAGGGCUGCCCUGGCCUCCUCUGCUCCUCCCCUCCCUCCCUGCCUCUCUCCUUCUCUCUGUUCCUUUUCCUUCCCUCUCUCCUUCCUUCCACCUCUCCCUCCUUCCCUCUUCCCUCCUCCCUGCACUAAAAACAGGGAGAGAAAGCUCUCUCUCCUCCUUCCCUCCCCUCUCUCUCUCCUUUCCUCCCUCUUUCCUUCCCCUUCUUCCCUCUCUACCUUCCUCCCUCUUUCCUUUCCUCCCUCCCCCUCUCCUGCCUUCUCUUCUUCUCUCCCUCUCUCCCUCCCUCUUUCCUCCCUCUCUUUUCAUUCCCUCUCUCCUUCCCUCCAUCUCUCCCUCCUUCCCCCUUCUCUUCCCCUUUCUCUCUCCUCCCUCCCUCCUCUCUCUCUCUACUCUCUCCUUCCCUCCUUCCCUCCCUCUCUCCCUCUCCCCUUCCCUCUCUCCCUCGCCUGUCCCUGGACACCUGGGGCUAGGGGGGAGAUGCUGGGCAGCGCUGGGGCUGCAGCCAGAGCCCUGACUGAUGGUCCCCUGCGGCCCCGCGGCCAUUUGGCGGCCAGGCCUGUCAAAGGGCCCCUGCGGGGUUAUUUUCUCGGAAUACGGCCCAACGUCCAAGUACCUCUGACCUGCUCUACCCGCUUGCACCCUACUAGUCCCAUUUAGUCAGGGCUUUGGUGACUGCUGUGUGAUGGACGUUCAUUAGAGCUGGUUGUUCUGCCCCAAGGGUGAUGAAAAGGAGGUGCCGCGUUUCUGCUGCCCUGCCCCACACCGAGGGAAUCGCCUGUGCCUGCCGGGGGCACAGCUUUCCUCCCCGUCCAGAGACAGGAGCCAGGGCCCAAGGACAAGGGCGGAUGCAAAGGGUAACAGCUGCAGGCAGGGCUGGGGUCCCUGUCCCUGUGCCUGGGGUGCCCGAGGGUGCGCGUGUGGGGCAGCAAGCGUGGGCCUCUUUCACACGUGGGGCAGAGCAUCCUUCAGCUCCGCUGCACAGGUCACUCCCAGCAGACCCUGCUCCAGACCGUGCCCGGGGAGAUCACAGCAGGGCCAGGAGUGGGGAGCUCCCCAGGGCCCCAGCUGAGCCCCUCGAGUUUGGCUGGGUGCUGCACAGACCCCUUCCCCCUCCCACAACAGCAUCCUCCCAUUUUGCCAGGGCUUGAACAGAGCCCUCUCCCUGGGUGACACUGGGUGCCCCUUUGCGCACGGUGCUGCCCAGGCCCUCGGAGCGAGGCCAGGAACCACCCCCAGACAUGCUGAGCAUGGCACUGGCCCCCACGCUGGGCCUUCACAACCGUCCCCCAUCUCCUGAACCCACUAGGCCACCACAUCACCCCUUCCCUCAACACGUCCACCAUCCCUGUUCUUAAAUCCUGGUGCCCUCCCAUGAAGUGCAGCACAAAACACAUUCUCACUGAAGAAAUGAGUAUAUCAGGAGGGAAGAGACAUGCAUUUCUUCGCAAUGCCUCUCCUGUGGGGGAAAAAAGAAAAAAUGUAUCAGGGAGAAAUAGAGAUGUGAACAGAAGAGGGGGGGACGAGGGAAUGAGGCUUUGCGUGUAAAACACUUUGCAAACAAGAUCCAGCUAGUGAUGAUUUCUGCUAAAGAACGCCAGCAGUGUUCCAGCAGGGCUGGCACUAUCGGGCUGACUUUCGCAGAUCUGCUUUGCAAGAAUCUGCAGAGAACAGGAGGGCUGAGAUUCCUGUUCCCCAGUGCAGACUGUGUCCAGUGGAGGGGCUUGAUUCAUUGCCCUCUCAUUGAUCUCUUUAUGGAGGUGUUUGGCGGUCUCCAAGAAAGAUCCAUAAGUCCCAUCCUCCAAUUUAGGGAAGCUGGCCAAAACCCCAGUCCCUCUGAUGCAAGACUUCCCCCCUCACAGCAUGGGUGGAUCCGGCAGGAGGGUGAUUCUCCUCCAGGAGUGCUUAUCCUUCCAGAAAGAGUGGGGGCUGGCAGCACCGAGUAGAUUCAGGUGUCUGCCUUGGGCUCCUCUGCCCUUGGGUGCAAUGAAUGCUGCAACAUCUCCCCAAGCAGGUGCAUCUCUCGUGUUGAUGCCUCCAUCUGAGAGGGCUCCCUGGACUCCCAUGUUGCGGCCCGAAGGGAGUCGUUCAGGACGACCUCCCUCCCCUUAGGACCAGUGACCAAGUUCGUGAUGCCCUUGGACUGAAUUAAGGUGAAAACGACACCAGCCAACCACUUUUAAGAUUUAUUAAGGCAAAAUGGAAUCAACUAACUAGACACGUCUUGCGUCACACGUUUAGGAAAAAGAGAGGAAAAGGGGAAGACAGACAGAGAGAGAGAGAAAGAUAGAUAUCACCACCCGUGGAUCCAGCAGCGUCCCGUUGGUCCUCUUCUCUUGGGAGUCUCGGCGGCAGCGGAGGUGGGGGGCAGAGGCGGGAAGCUCCCAUCUGGUUCCGCUGACUCCGCUCGAGUUCUUCAGUCGUCGCAAGCAAG